UACGUAGGUGGCAAGCGUUGUCCGGAAUUAUUGGGCGUAAAGCGCGCGCAGGCGGCCUCUUAAGUCUGAUGUGAAAGCCCCCGGCUCAACCGGGGAGGGCCAUUGGAAACUGGGAGGCUUGUGUAUAGGAGAGAAGAGUGGAAUUCCACGUGUAGCGGUGAAAUGCGUAGAGAUGUGGAGGAACACCAGUGGCGAAGGCGACUCUUUGGCCUAUAACUGACGCUGAGGCGCGAAAGCGUGGGGAGCAAACAGG
rnacentral:rRNA from 1 species